rnacentral:snRNA from 1 species
GGAUGUGAGGGCGAUCUGGCUGCGACAUCUGUCACCCCAUUGAUCGCCAGGGUUGAUUCGGCUGAUCUGGCUGGGUAGGCGGGUGUCCCCUUCCUCCCUCACCGCUCCAUGUGCGUCCCUCCCGAAGCUGCGCGCUCGGUCGAAGAGGACGACCAUCCCCGAUAGAGGAGGACCGUUCUUCUCGGUCAAGGGUAUACGAGUAGCUGCGCUCCCCUGCUAGAACCUCCAAACAAGCUCUCAUAAAGGGCAUUUCUUUUCUUUAAAACUUAAGCUUGUAAGACUAGAUCCUCCAAGUUUCAGGGUCUGUCCAUUUACAUUCUGGAGUGAGGCACUGGCAAACUGGCUGGAUGCUU